rnacentral:rRNA from 1 species
GACGUAGGGCGCGAGCGUUGUCCGGAUUUAUUGGGCGUAAAGAGCUCGUAGGCGGCUUGUCGCGUCGUCCGUGAAAACCUGCAGCUCAACUGCAGGCUUGCGGUCGAUACGGGCAGGCUGGAGUUCGGUAGGGGAGACUGGAAUUCCUGGUGUAGCGGUGAAAUGCGCAGAUAUCAGGAGGAACACCUGAGGUGAAGACGGGUUGCUGGGCCAACACUGACGCUGAGGCGCGAAAGCCAGGGGAGCAAACGGG